CCACCUGCGGACUUCAUUCCAUCCGAUUUCUCAGAUUUCUCACAUGCCAAACGCAAAUUAUCAAAACCCUAGUGUUCGAAGUUUUGGUAUCCAGACUCCUGGCGUGAGCUCUGCGUCGGCGAUGCCUCCUCCUGGUUCGGAAAUCAUAUAGCAAAUGGAGGAUUAGCAGCAAGGGAAGGAAAAGUUUUGAAUGGCUUACGAUUUUGAAGACAGCCAUGGAAUGGGGGCGAGUUUUACAACAGCAAGCGCAAGUACAAGCCCCUCCAGACCAAGGAGGAUAUACUCCCUAUGGCGUCUUUUGCUGUUGCUAGACGACUAUGCUCUUUCCUUUCGUUAGGAUGAAGACAGGUUGUGUAUUUUUAUUUUUUUUAAACAGUUGAGGGGUUUUUUGUAAAUUUACUUUAGAUGUAUGUGCGGUAGAAAAUUUCGGUUGUGUAAAUAGCAAUACUCUAACGACGAAUCAGGUACCUUUAAUGGUAGAGCGCAUGAAUUCGAGUAAUGAAAAGAAAAAUUUUAGAUAAUUUAUAAAUUAGAUAAAUUAUUCAAAAAAAAAAAAUAGCAAUACUCUAGCUUACAAUAAAUUCCCCUCUCUGCGCAUCUAAUCUUUAAUUUAUUUAUGCCCUACACUAUCAAACUCCUCCGUUUCCAAUGCCUUAUAUGAAAGUGCUUUUGACGAUUUUC